rnacentral:tRNA from 1 species
GGCUGUGUAGCUCAACGGCAGAGCAAAGCCCUCAUAAAGCUAAGACGGAAGUUCGACUCUUCCCACAGCCA